ACUCCUACGGGAGGCAGCAGUGGGGAAUAUUGGACAAUGGGGGGAACCCUGAUCCAGCCAUGCCGCGUGUGUGAAGAAGGCCUUAUGGUUGUAAAGCACUUUAAGCGAGGAGGAGGCUACUGAGACUAAUACUCUUGGAUAGUGGACGUUANUCGCAGAAUAAGCGGUCGG
rnacentral:rRNA from 1 species